UUAAGCGAUUAAGCGUACACGGUGGAUGCCCUGGCAGUCAGAGGCGAUGAAGGACGUGCUAAUCUGCGAUAAGCGUCGGUGAGGUGAUAUGAACCGUUAUAACCGGCGAUUUCCGAAUGGGGAAACCCAGUGUGUUUCGACACACUAUCAUUAACUGAAUCCAUAGGUUAAUGAGGCGAACCGGGGGAACUGAAACAUCUAAGUACCCCGAGGAAAAGAAAUCAACCGAGAUUCCCCCAGUAGCGGCGAGCGAACGGGGAGGAGCCCAGAGCCUGAAUCAGUGUGUGUGUUAGUGGAAGCGUCUGGAAAGGCGUGCGAUACAGGGUGACAGCCCCGUACACAAAAAUGCACAUAUUGUGAGCUCGAUGAGUAGGGCGGGACACGUGGUAUCCUGUCUGAAUAUGGGGGGACCAUCCUCCAAGGCUAAAUACUCCUGACUGACCGAUAGUGAACCAGUACCGUGAGGGAAAGGCGAAAAGAACCCCGGCGAGGGGAGUGAAAAAGAACCUGAAACCGUGUACGUACAAGCAGUGGGAGCCUCUUAAUGGGGUGACUGCGUACCUUUUGUAUAAUGGGUCAGCGACUUAUAUUCUGUAGCAAGGUUAACCGAAUAGGGGAGCCGAAGGGAAACCGAGUCUUAACUGGGCGUUAAGUUGCAGGGUAUAGACCCGAAACCCGGUGAUCUAGCCAUGGGCAGGUUGAAGGUUGGGUAACACUAACUGGAGGACCGAACCGACUAAUGUUGAAAAAUUAGCGGAUGACUUGUGGCUGGGGGUGAAAGGCCAAUCAAACCGGGAGAUAGCUGGUUCUCCCCGAAAGCUAUUUAGGUAGCGCCUCGUGAAUUCAUCUCCGGGGGUAGAGCACUGUUUCGGCAAGGGGGUCAUCCCGACUUACCAACCCGAUGCAAACUGCGAAUACCGGAGAAUGUUAUCACGGGAGACACACGGCGGGUGCUAACGUCCGUCGUGAAGAGGGAAACAACCCAGACCGCCAGCUAAGGUCCCAAAGUCAUGGUUAAGUGGGAAACGAUGUGGGAAGGCCCAGACAGCCAGGAUGUUGGCUUAGAAGCAGCCAUCAUUUAAAGAAAGCGUAAUAGCUCACUGGUCGAGUCGGCCUGCGCGGAAGAUGUAACGGGGCUAAACCAUGCACCGAAGCUGCGGCAGCGACACUAUGUGUUGUUGGGUAGGGGAGCGUUCUGUAAGCCUGUGAAGGUGGCCUGUGAGGGUUGCUGGAGGUAUCAGAAGUGCGAAUGCUGACAUAAGUAACGAUAAAGCGGGUGAAAAGCCCGCUCGCCGGAAGACCAAGGGUUCCUGUCCAACGUUAAUCGGGGCAGGGUGAGUCGACCCCUAAGGCGAGGCCGAAAGGCGUAGUCGAUGGGAAACAGGUUAAUAUUCCUGUACUUGGUGUUACUGCGAAGGGGGGACGGAGAAGGCUAUGUUGGCCGGGCGACGGUUGUCCCGGUUUAAGCGUGUAGGCUGGUUUUCCAGGCAAAUCCGGAAAACCAAGGCUGAGGCGUGAUGACGAGGCACUACGGUGCUGAAGCGACAAAUGCCCUGCUUCCAGGAAAAGCCUCUAAGCAUCAGGUAACAUCAAAUCGUACCCAAAACCGACACAGGUGGUCAGGUAGAGAAUACCAAGGCGCUUGAGAGAACUCGGGUGAAGGAACUAGGCAAAAUGGUGCCGUAACUUCGGGAGAAGGCACGCUGAUAUGUAGGUGAAGCGACUUGCUCGUGGAGCUGAAAUCAGUCGAAGAUACCAGCUGGCUGCAACUGUUUAUUAAAAACACAGCACUGUGCAAACACGAAAGUGGACGUAUACGGUGUGACGCCUGCCCGGUGCCGGAAGGUUAAUUGAUGGGGUUAGCGGUAACGCGAAGCUCUUGAUCGAAGCCCCGGUAAACGGCGGCCGUAACUAUAACGGUCCUAAGGUAGCGAAAUUCCUUGUCGGGUAAGUUCCGACCUGCACGAAUGGCGUAAUGAUGGCCAGGCUGUCUCCACCCGAGACUCAGUGAAAUUGAACUCGCUGUGAAGAUGCAGUGUACCCGCGGCAAGACGGAAAGACCCCGUGAACCUUUACUAUAGCUUGACACUGAACAUUGAGCCUUGAUGUGUAGGAUAGGUGGGAGGCUUUGAAGUGUGGACGCCAGUCUGCAUGGAGCCGACCUUGAAAUACCACCCUUUAAUGUUUGAUGUUCUAACGUUGGCCCGUAAUCCGGGUUGCGGACAGUGUCUGGUGGGUAGUUUGACUGGGGCGGUCUCCUCCUAAAGAGUAACGGAGGAGCACGAAGGUUGGCUAAUCCUGGUCGGACAUCAGGAGGUUAGUGCAAUGGCAUAAGCCAGCUUGACUGCGAGCGUGACGGCGCGAGCAGGUGCGAAAGCAGGUCAUAGUGAUCCGGUGGUUCUGAAUGGAAGGGCCAUCGCUCAACGGAUAAAAGGUACUCCGGGGAUAACAGGCUGAUACCGCCCAAGAGUUCAUAUCGACGGCGGUGUUUGGCACCUCGAUGUCGGCUCAUCACAUCCUGGGGCUGAAGUAGGUCCCAAGGGUAUGGCUGUUCGCCAUUUAAAGUGGUACGCGAGCUGGGUUUAGAACGUCGUGAGACAGUUCGGUCCCUAUCUGCCGUGGGCGCUGGAGAACUGAGGGGGGCUGCUCCUAGUACGAGAGGACCGGAGUGGACGCAUCACUGGUGUUCGGGUUGUCAUGCCAAUGGCACUGCCCGGUAGCUAAAUGCGGAAGAGAUAAGUGCUGAAAGCAUCUAAGCACGAAACUUGCCCCGAGAUGAGUUCUCCCUGACUCCUUGAGGGUCCUGAAGGAACGUUGAAGACGACGACGUUGAUAGGCCGGGUGUGUAAGCGCAGCGAUGCGUUGAGCUAACCGGUACUAAUGAACCGUGAGGCUUAACCUU
rnacentral:rRNA from 2 species